UUAGUUCAACCAUUGUAGAAGACAUUGUGGCAAUUCCAUAAAGACCAAAAGACAGAAACACCAUUCAAUCCAGCAAUUUCAUUACUGGUUAUACACCCAAAGGAAUAUAAAUUAUUCUAUUUUAAAGAUAUAUGCACGCAUAUGUUUAUUGCAGCACUAAUCACAAUAGCAAAGACAUGGAAUCAACCUAAAUGUCCACCAGUGAUAGAUUGGAUAAAGAAAAUGUGGUACAUAUACACCAUAGAAUACUAUACAGCCAUAAAACGAAUGCAAUCAUGUCCUUUGCAGGGAUAUAGGUAGAGCCUGGGGACAUUGUCUUUAGCAAACUAAUGCAGGAACAGAAAAUCAAAUACUGCAUGUUCUCACUUAUAAGUGGGAGUGAAUGAUGAGAACACAUGGACUCAUGAGGGAGAAUAACUCACAUUGGGCCCUGUUGGAGGGUAGAGGGUGGGAGGAGGGAGAGGAUCUGGAAAAAUAACUAAUGGAUACCAGGCUUAAUACCUGCUGAUGAAAAAAUCUUUUCAACAAACCUCCAUGACACACGCUUACCUAUGUAACAAACUUGUACAUGUAUCCCUGAACUUAAAAGUUAGAAAAAUAAAAUAAAAUACCCCUGUACUCUUCAACUGUGGAUUUCUGUUUACAGACAUUAUAUUGGGAUCUGCUGAACAGAAUCAGUUAAUCAGAGUCAUCACUUCAUGUGUAAAAGAACAGUAAAAUUUGGCAAUAUAAAUAUUUCCUCCCCUUUUAGAUUCUGGUAGAUGAAAGUGAGCAAAAAAAAUAUUUAUUUUCCCACAAACAAAAUCAUGUAUUUAUCAUUUGAAGGUAGAAUCUUCCAUAAUCAUUUUUAUUGUAGCUAAUAACUUUUUCUCCUACAUUAAUACAACAGCAGAUCUGUAUGUUCCAAUUUAUUAUUGACAAGUGCAAGAUCCUAUGUAAUUGGAAUAAACACCUACAUUAUAUGUUUUGAAGUAUUUUGAAAAUUAGGCAUGUUCCAAAUUAUUCCAAAGGGAAAUCUUCUACAAAAGUGUGUUAGAAAGUUUGUGUUAACUCAGAAAUGCCAAAAUGAUGUUUAAAGGGAGAGAAAUAUUAGAAGUAGAGUAUAUUUAAUCUGAGGCCCCCAAAAACAACUAGGCUGGGAUUAUUAAUUUGGUCAUCAUUAGAGUGUGGUCUAAUUUAAAGAAAAUAUAUCAACAAGCUGUCCUGAUCAAAUUUCCUUUCUGCAAAGAUCACCUUAGUAGCAACAUGGAGACUAAGUUGAAAGAGACAUAGAAAGACAAAUUAAAUAUUUACUAUAUUCAUGAAAAAUAAAAGUGAUUAUUUCAAUGAAAAUUGAAUAAUAUUAACUAUAUUAGGAGAGAUUUAGGAAGCAAAACAAUGGAACUGUUGAGGGAUGUUGGUAGUAAGGAAAAGAGGCUACAUGAAGAUUGCUCCAUGAUUCACACUUAAGUGUGAAUUAGCAGAUAGGUUAUUAUGAUUUCUACAUGUUUCUUAUAGAUUCAAAAUAUAUUCAAUGUUUUUAUCCAACUGCAUCUGAUUGAAAUAUCACAUAUUGCAAACCAACCUGUAUUCAUUUUAACAAAGCAGCUCUAGUUAUUCAGUGGAAAUCUGGAGGUAUUUUCUCCUUUUUUCUCUUUCAAAUAUGCUUUUUAUAGUGAUUUCAGGAACAACAGGUUCAUGUGUAGAGGAGGCCAGUGUGGUUAGCAUAUUAGGUCACUUAUUCCUAAGAGAGAAAAUACUGUUGUAUCUCUCAGUGAAAUGGGCAGGUAUAUUCAUGACAACAAGUGGGACUUCCCGGAAAUACUAAAUCUCAUAUCUUGAAGCAUCAUAAAGUAUAAGAUGGAUAAAACCAGUGGCCUGGUAACUCAUAAAUUUUAUCCUGCUCAAACUGACUCAUGUCAGUUUCCAGUCUUAGAAAUUAUUUUCGUUAAACUGGAAUUAGGAGAAAAAAAAUUUUAUCUAUAUUUGCUAUAUGUUAGAUUCACACCUCAAAGACUGUCAUUGGUUAAAAGAUAAAAUCUGGCUGGGAUGGAAACCAACAUUCAGAAAAGAAGCAUUAAAAGAGAAAGAAGAGGGAGAUUCUUGAUGUCAAUCCUGUGUGUGUAUUGGGUUAAACACACAACAUUGGGGUAACCUAUGGUAAUCUCUGACUAUGGGUCAGUGAAUUCUCUUGUAUGCACAAGCUGUUUUCACUUGGAAUUUUAAGCUUAAAGUAAAUGAUCAUGCAAAUGCCAUUUUGUACAAAUGAUUUGCAACUUUUAAAAGGGGGAUCAUUUACAUGAAGUAUAUAGCAUAUUUCAUUAUGUACUAGACAUCCUUUGAAUUAGCUAGUUAAUAAAAUUGCAACCAUAAUUUUGGAUUAUUUUUUAUAACGGUUAUAUUCUAGUCUAUGCUUUCACAUAAUAAAUAAUAUAUUCUAUGUACGAAAUUAAAAAUGUUCUGGUAUGUCUUAACUAUAUAAACAACUGUCAAAUCAAUAUAUGAUAAUAUUUCAGAUAUUUAGAAAUGCGCUAAAGCUCUUAUAUGGUAUACCCUAGCUUGCACUGCUCUCGUAUGUCUGGUGUGUAGACUGUUAAGUGACACUUGACAUGCCUGGUAUUUAUGUAGCUAUAACUUGAAAAUGUUGAAGAUAAUUAUAAAAAAUUAGGAUUUAUAGCUACUCUAUAGAACAAAGUGCUUGUUUAUGUAUUAAUUUCUUAUUAUAAUGCUAGAAAUAAAGACGAGGCUUGUAGUGAACAGUAGGUUUAGAAUCAAGCUAUUGAGUCAAUAGAAAACAUUCAAAGUAUUUCCAUUGUGUGAUCUAAAAGAACUGUUUGAAUUAUAAAAAUAUUAUAUACAUAUAUAUAUAUGGUCUGGGUGUGGUGGCUCAUGUCUGUAAUCCCAGCACUUUGGGAAGUUGAGGUGGGAGGAUCACUUGAGUCCAGGAGGUAGAUCAAUUGAGCUGAGAGCAUGUCACUGCACUUCAGUCUGGGAGACAGAGUGAGAUCCUGAUGUUCUUGGCCUCAUGGAUUCGAAGGAAUGGAACCUUGGUCUAUGCGGUGAGUGUUACAGCUCUAUUAGAAGCCUUGGGUCACGGCAGAGAACCGUGGAACCCAGCAACUAGUGUUCAGCUCUAUUAGAAUGAAUCUGGGCACUUAGCCACGCAGGAACAACUGCAAGCCUCCAGCCGGUUUGGGAGCAGCAAUGGGCGCCUUGCUGGAUCAGAAAUGUCAGGCCUCUGAGCCCAAGCCAAGCCAUCGCAUCCACUGUGACUUGCACAUAUACACCCAGAUGGCCUGAAGUAACUGAA
rnacentral:lncRNA from 1 species